rnacentral:rRNA from 1 species
CAACGGGGCAUGCUUAGUACGGCGAGUGAAGCGGCAAAAGCUCAAAUUUGAAAUCUGGCGCCUUCGGUGUCCGAGUUGUAAUUUGAAGAUUGUAACCUUGGGGUUGGCCCUUGUCUAUGUUUCUUGGAACAGGACGUCACAGAGGGUGAGAAUCCCGUGCGACGAGAAGCCCAAUUCUUUGUAAGGUGCUUUCGAAGAGUCGAGUUGUUUGGGAAUGCAGCUCUAAGUGGGUGGUAAAUUCCAUCUAAAGCUAAAUAUUGGCGAGAGACCGAUAGCGAACAAGUACAGUGAUGGAAAGAUGAAAAGAACUUUGAAAAGAGAGUGAAAAAGUACGUGAAAUUGUUGAAAGGGAAGGGUUUGAGAUCAGACUCGAUAUUUUGUGAGCCUUGCCUUCGUGGCGGGGUGACCCGCAGCUUAUCGGGCCAGCAUCGGUUUGGGCGGUAGGAUAAUGGCCUAGGAAUGUGACUUUACUUCGGUGAAGUGUUAUAGCCUGCGUUGAUGCUGCCUGCCUAGACCGAGGACUGCGAUUUUAUCAAGGAUGCUGGCAUAAUGGUUAUAUGCCGCCCGUCUUAAC